rnacentral:snRNA from 1 species
GUGCUCAUUUCUGCAGCACAUAUACUAAAACUGGAAUGAUACAAGGACAAUGAGCAUGGCCCCUGUACAAAGAUGACAUUCAAAUUCCUAAAGCAUUCUUUUUUUUU